UAAUUCGGUUUAGAAAUCAUCCUAUAUAUACCCAGGGAAAUGUCGACUGGCACACAUAUUCAAGAGCUGGUGAGCCUAGUACUGUUGUUUCAAAUAAAGAUUUCCUGUACAAGAUGAAGGUUUCUGCAACCUUUUCGCUGAUUACAAUCUUGACAGUGUUCGUGAUCAUGAUCUGCAGAACCGAGGCAGCAGAACUGGAACGUCACGUCCGUCUCCGUCGUGCUACUGGUUGCCCUAACAUAGAUAAGUGCAUCGACAGCUGCCGGAAGGAAGGCCACUCAACUGGGUAUUGCCUGCCGAUGAUAAUACAAAUUUGUGUUUGCUUCUAGCAAAUGCACAUGCUUUCAGAAACGUGUCAAUAAAGAUCAAUAUUGUGAGCAUUCAUA